rnacentral:rRNA from 1 species
UACGAAGGGUGCAAGCGUUACUCGGAAUUACUGGGCGUAAAGCGUGCGUAGGUGGUUUGUUAAGUCUGUUGUGAAAGCCCCGGGCUCAACCUGGGAAUGGCAAUGGAUACUGGCAAGCUAGAGUGCGGUAGAGGGUAGUGGAAUUCCCGGUGUAGCGGUGAAAUGCGUAGAGAUCGGGAGGAACACCAGUGGCGAAGGCGGCUACCUGGACCAGCACUGACACUGAGGUGCGAAAGCGUGGGGAGCAAACAGG